AUUGAACGCUGGCGGCAUGCCUUACACAUGCAAGUCGAACGGUAACGCGGGGCAACCUGGCGCCGAGUGGCGAACGGGUGAGAAAUAUAUGGGAACGUGCCCAGUGGUGGGAGAUAGCCCGGCGAAAGCCGGGUCAAGACCCCAUGAACCUUGGGGGGGAAGGCGGGGAAUGGCAAGACCUCGGGCAUUUGGACGGGCCGAUAUCAGAUUAGCAAAUUGGUGGGGUAAAGGCCUACCAAGGCAACGAUCUGUAGUUGGUCUGAGAGGACGACCAGCCACACUGGGACUGAGACACGGCCCAGACUCCUACGGGAGGCAGCAGUGGGGAAUUUUGGACAAUGGGCGCAAGCCUGAUCCAGCAAUGCCGCGUGCAGGAAGAAGGCCUUCGGGUUGUAAACUGCUUUUGUCAGGGAAGAAAUCUUCUGGGUUAAUACCUCGGGAGGAUGACGGUACCUGAAGAAUAAGCACCGGCUAACUACGUGCCAGCAGCCGCCGUAAAAC
rnacentral:rRNA from 1 species